GUAGGUGGCAAGCGUUGUCCGGGAAUUAUUGGGGCGUAAAGCGCGCGCAGGCGGUUCUUUAAGUCUGAUGUGAAAGCCCACGGGCUCAACCGUGGAGGGUCAUUGGAAACUGGAGAACUUGAGUACAGAAGAGGAAAGCGGAAUUCCACGUGUAGCGGUGAAAUGCGUAGAGAUGUGGAGGAACACCAGUGGCGAAGGCGGCUUUCUGGUCUGUAACUGACGCUGAGGCGCGAAAGCGUGGGGAGCAAACAGGAUUAGAUACCCUGGUAGUCCACGCCAUAAACGAUGAGUGCUAAGUGUUAGGGGGUUUCCUCCCCUUAGUGCUGCAGCUAACGCAUUAAGCACUCCGCCUGGGGAGUACGGCCGCAAAGGCUG
rnacentral:rRNA from 1 species